rnacentral:rRNA from 1 species
CUCGCUGUGAAGAUGCAGUGUACCCGCGGCAAGACGGAAAGACCCCGUGAACCUUUACUAUAGCUUGACACUGAACAUUGAGCCUUGAUGUGUAGGAUAGGUGGGAGGCUUAGAAGUGUGGACGCCAGUCUGCAUGGAGCCGACCUUGAAAUACCACCCUUUAAUGUUUGAUGUUCUAACGUUGACCCGUAAUCCGGGUUGCGGACAGUGUCUGGUGGGUAGUUUGACUGGGGCGGUCUCCUCCUAAAGAGUAACGGAGGAGCACGAAGGUUGGCUAAUCCUGGUCGGACAUCAGGAGGUUAGUGCAAUGGCAUAAGCCAGCUUGACUGCGAGCGUGACGGCGCGAGCAGGUGCGAAAGCAGGUCAUAGUGAUCCGGUGGUUCUGAAUGGAAGGGCCAUCGCUCAACGGAUAAAAGGUACUCCGGGGAUAACAGGCUGAUACCGCCCAAGAGUUCAUAUCGACGGCGGUGUUUGGCACCUCGAUGUCGGCUCAUCACAUCCUGGGGCUGAAGUAGGUCCCAAGGGUAUGGCUGUUCGCCAUUUAAAGUGGUACGCGAGCUGGGUUUAGAACGUCGUGAGACAGUUCGGUCCCUAUCUGCCGUGGGCGCUGGAGAACUGAGGGGGGCUGCUCCUAGUACGAGAGGACCGGAGUGGACGCAUCACUGGUGUUCGGGUUGUCAUGCCAAUGGCACUGCCCGGUAGCUAAAUGCGGAAGAGAUAAGUGCUGAAAGCAUCUAAGCACGAAACUUGCCCCGAGAUGAGUUCUCCCUGACCCUUUAAGGGUCCUGAAGGAACGUUGAAGACGACGACGUUGAUAGGCCGGGUGUGUAAGCGCAGCGAUGCGUUGAGCUAACCGGUACUAAUGAACCGUGAGGCUUAACCUUACAACGCCGAAGCUGUU